rnacentral:rRNA from 1 species
AUGUCUCAUUAUCAGGAGCACAAUGUUGAGGACAUGGAGGAUGAUUGCGACAUGGAUAAUCCGGUAGAUGACAUGGAUGGUGAAGAUUACCUAGGGCCGGAGGCUAGGGACGACUCUGAUGAGGAGGAUGACGAGGAUGCCGAAGCGAAUAAGGCAUCCGACACAUCAUCUGAAGAAGCAAGACGUGGAAAAGACAUUCAAGGAAUACCAUGGGAUCGCCUGGAACUUACCAGAGAAGGAUACAGGGAGACAAGAUUAUUACAGUACAAAAAUUACGAGAAUGUACCUAAUUCUGCAGAAACAGCAAUGAAGGCAUGCAAAUCUACUGAGAAAGACGGAACAUAUUAUGAGUUCAGGCGAAAUACUAGAUCAGUAAAAUCUACUAUUCUACAUUUUCAGCUGAGAAAUUUAGUAUGGGCUACAUCUAAGCAUGAUGCUUACCUAAUAUCGCAUUACUCGGUGCUACACUGGUCAGCCUUGAGUGGUGUGGACACAGAAAUUAUGAAUGUCGAAGGGCAUAUCGCACCAAGUGAGAAACAUCCAGGAAGUUUAUUAGAAGGGUUUUCUCAGACUCAAGUUAGUACGCUGGCAGUCAAGGAUAAUUUGCUAGUAGCUGGUGGUUUCCAAGGAGAGCUAAUAUGCAAAAACCUGGACCAAGAAGGAAUAAGCUUUUGCUGCAGGACAACAUAUGAUGAUAAUGCAAUCACCAAUGCAGUGGAGAUAUUCAACACCUCUAGUGGCGCUGUUCACUUCAUUGCAUCUAUUAACGACUCCGGUGUAAGAGAAUAUGAUAUGGAAAGAUACCAGUUAUGUAAGCAUUUCCGCUUUGAUUGGCCAGUGAAUCACACGUCUUUGAGCCCUGAUGGGAAGCUUGUUCUCGUUGUCGGGGAUGACCCAGAUGCUUUGCUUAUUGAUGCUAAUUCAGGAAAGACUAUUCAUUCUAUGAAAGGUCACUUGGAUUUCUCAUUUGCAUCGGCUUGGAGCCCGAUGGCCGGACAUUUGCCACUGGCAAUCAAGACAGGACAUGCCGGGUUUGGGAUGCCAGAAAUCUCUCGCAGUCUCUCCAUGUCUUGA